rnacentral:lncRNA from 1 species
AAUUUCCAAUUUAAGAUGCACACCAGUCUUUGACAAAAAUCCAGUUAUACAUGUUGUGCCUGAACUUAUGACAUACCAGGCAAAGAAGAAAAUCUUGCUCUGUUGUCGACCUAUCAAAUAUAAUUUUGUCGAUGUCAAUCCCAAUAGCUUUAUCAGCUGUUUUAGAUUCCUCGGCUACCUAUCAAGGCCAUAAAUGAUAUUUAGGUUAUAAUAUUAGCAGAACAAAAACUAAAAAAGUUAAAAUUUAAACAAACACAAACUUAAUUGAACAGAAAAGUAACAAAACUUGACACAAAAAUAAAAGAAAAAGGAAAUAAAAUUAUUAGCAGAAAUGGACAACAAAACCAGUAAAAUCGAGGCCGAAUCAAAAAAAUUGACGGCCAAACGGUGAAAUUGAUGGCUUAAGCAGUGAAUCGACAGCUAAAAUCAGUGAUUUAAAUUGAUCUUUGUCCAAUACACACACAUGCACGCCUAAAAUCAAUGAAAUUAAUGGCUAACUCAGCAAAAUCGAAACCUAAAUCUUUGAAAUUCACGGCUAAAAUCUGUGAUUUAAACUGAUAUCCAUCCAAUACAAACAAUGCACGCCUUAAAUCAGUGAAAUCAAUGUCAUUUUGAAAGGAAUUACACAAACGACUUGAAACCGGAUUAUCAGAAAAGGGCUAUCGUCUCAAACACAUUACCUUAAACGACUUGAAAUCUGAUCUCCUUACAUAAAAGCUAUGGCAAAAUGUCUGUUUAUUUAGACCUUAAACGAUUUGGGGAAGGUUUGUGGUAAAGAAAAAGAGACCGUCUGUUUUGAUGGCAUAAUGUUUUUAAUAAAGUUCUUAAUAUUAAAUAUUAAUGGCGGUUUGGAACCACCGUAAUUGUAAAAAAAA